GGCCAGUGUGGUGUAGUGGUUUGAGUGUUGGACUAGGAUUCUGGAGAGUAAGGUUCAAUUCCCUCCUUGGCCA